CGUUCGACAGAAUGUCUGGCAAUGCUACAAGGCUCAGGUUGCAAUGGAUCUCCCCAGGGUUAGGUUAUACGCCAGGGGAAAACUGCUAGACAUGAUUUUAAGGUCAGGGGAGGAACUCAACAAUGCAGGAAAAAAUCCAUGCCAAAUCAGUACAUAAACUCAAGAUGUUCGAGAGAAUGUCAAGGGUACCUAGGGAGCUCAUGUGGCCACCAAAAUUACCACAUUAAGGUCUCCUUAGGUGUUAGUCAUGAUGGUCAUGUUAGUUUGGCAAAAAGUUAAACUUGUUAAUGCAAAGUUUUGAGAAAAUCAAUUAUGGAAAGCAACUUAAGACUAAU
rnacentral:lncRNA from 1 species